GAUCGACCUGCGAACGGAACGGAACUGUCAGUGCUAACAAGAGCCUCUUCGUUUCGUUGUGCUGUUUUUGGUGCUGAGUGUUUGUAAAAAGUUACUAGCUUUUGGUUUUGUUUUGGUGCUUGUGUACAAUAGAAUUACAGAGGCAUGGCCCGGGGGCAGCGGCGGUAUUCCCGAAAAAAUAGGAAAGCUGAAAUUUAGAAGAAAAAAAAUAUUAAAUAAAGAUAUAAGAAGAGAUGUAAGAAGGCAAGCUGACAAUGGGAUGGUAUGUCUGCAAAGCCAAUCAUAAAGAACCAAAUAAACUGCUUAUGGGCUUAUGGUUAUAUUAAACCGAUUGCAUGUAUCUAUAUACAGCAUGUAUCAUAUUUGUUUUCUCAGCCUCACACUUUAACUCAGGUUCGCUGAAGCAUCGGCAAGCUGAAUGUGAGAUGGUAUGUUGAUGUCCUGUACAUUGACACGGAAAUGAGGCAUUGAAGAUGUUAUGUUGGGGACAAUGCAUGAUAGAACAG